rnacentral:lncRNA from 1 species
CGCAGGCUCGUGGGCGCUGGGGCCGCGGGAAGGGCCGCUCCCAACCUGCGAUGGCGCCGCCCGGCCCCUCCCCCGGGCCCCGCGUGAUCGGGUUUGGCGUGGGAGAGGAAGAAAAGCAAGUGGGAUCGCUGGGAAGCGGCUGGUUUGGGGGAGCGCAGGAAUGGUUCCCGCCCCCUGGUGGCGGAGCAGCUCCUCUAGCGCAUCUGCUCCGCGGGGUCCCCUGCCGCCUCCCACAGUGCUUGACUUUCGCAGGACGCUGGGCAACCUUGAGUCUGGUAAACGAAGAAACCCCGUCCUCCCGCCCCUCCCACCGGCUGGUCGAAGUCGCUGAUUUUCCCAGACUGGCCUCAAACUUGUCAUCCUCCUGCCUCAGCCUCCCAGAAUGCUGGGGUGACGCCAGGCAGAGUGUCAUUCUUGUUGGACGUGAAUGAGGAAGGCGUCUGCCUGGCUGCUCCUGGUGGCCGUCCGGAGGCACAAGGAAGCCCGUGUGACAGACGCCACUCACUGAGGGAGGACACGAAACCACAGCGCCCAGACUCGCCGCUCCUGCCCCCCGCCAGCCUGCGUGCAAGCUGCCGGACAGCGUCUUCCUGCUCGGGCUACAGUCCCGCCCCUCGCACCUGCAGGCCCCGGAAUAUGACCGCCUGGGGCCGUGUGUGUGUCUGUCUCCCUCUGCUUGGUGGGCAGUAUGGGCCUCGAGCCAGCAGUGCUGCUCAAGCCCCGGGGAU